rnacentral:hammerhead_ribozyme from 1 species
AUCCAGUUAACGAGUCCCAAAUAGGACGAUACGCGCGUCCUGGAU